GCAGCCUUUCCCUGCUCCAGGGGAUCUUCCCAACCCAAGGAUCAAACCCAGGUCUCCUGCACUGCAGGUGGAUUCUUUACCAGCUGAGCCACCAGGGAAGCCCCUGAGUGUUUUAAGCAAACAGCCAAUUAGCCAAGAUAGCGGUGGUGGUCAGGCUUUCUCACCCCACAGCCUCUCGCCCCACGUUUUGUAAAUACAUGGUUAUGUAACAGUUGAGAUCACUUAUAGCACUGCAUAUGCGCGUCACAAUGUACUCACUUGGCCACAGGCCGCUUUUGUUCUGUUUGCCUACAUAAGCUCCACCUGAAAAGCCCUUGUGACUGCAUUGUGUCUGGGUCUGCUGGGUCAACUGUGAGAGAAUACGGCGUGUCUGCUGCUACAGCUGCUGUGUUAGUCAGGAGAAAAUAAACACGUUUGCCGUUCCUACAGCUCCUUGAGUUUUCUUCCAGCUUCUCCGCUCUCGCCUUGACUACCGUGGGUUCAGCGAACGAUCACUUGAUCUGGAGGGAAUCUGCUGACAUGUCAUGAGGAUACUCAAAUAUCCCUUUGGAUAAGACCACGAGGUGAGGAACCGGGGCCUCCUGCCAACAGCCACAUGUGAGUCACCUUGGAAGCAUAUCCUCCAGCUCUAGUCAAGUCAGAUGGCUGUAGCCUUGUUGACAGCUUGAUUGCCACCUCCUUAUGAGAGAUUCUGUGCCAGAACCACGUGGUUAAGCUGCUCCCAAGUUUAUAAUAAUUUAAGUUUUUAAUUAAGUCUUAAAACUAUAUAUCUAAUUUAAUAUUGAUACCAUUGGCUAAAUUAGAGAAGGAAAAUUUAUUUAUUUUCACUCCUAAUGUGUCAAAACAAACUUUAUUAUUUCUGGGUUAUUUUUGUCAAUAUACAUGCCAAACUUAACAGUUAAGAGCUAAGACUGCGGUGUAUUAUUUGUGGAAGUAUACUGACCAAUGAAACAAUGAAACUGUCAAAACUUAAAUAGCAUAUACAAACAAAACACAAAUAAAUAAAUUAAAAAUAAUCUUUUCUAAAUUGAAGUACAAUUAACAAAUUGUUUCAGGUAUACAACACAAUGAUUUGAUAUUUUGUAAAUACUACUAAAUAUCAAAUCAUUAAAUUAUUAGAUACUAGGUGAGGCUCUAGAUAGCUUAUGAUCACCACAAUAAGUCUAGUUAACAUCCAAUACCAUACAUAGUUACAAAAUCUUCCUUUCUUGUCAAAAUAACCUUUCAAAAGAAAGAUUACUGAAUUAAGGAGGCAACAGAAAAAUAGCUGAACUGCUUUGAAAAACAGGUUGGCAGUUCCUCAAAAAAGUUAAAUGUAAAGUUACCGUGUAUGCUUGGUCCCUCAGUCUUGUCUGACUCUUUGUGACCCCAUGGACUCUGCCUGCCAGGCUCCUCUGUCCAUGGGGAUUCGCCAGGCAAAAACGCUGGAGUGGGUUGCCAUGCCCUCCUCCAGAUAAAGUUACUAUAUUAUCUUGUAAUUCCAAACCUAGGUAUAUACUUAUGAGAAAAGAAAACAUGUCUACAUAAGAGCUUUUGAAUGUUUAUAGCAACAUUGUUUAUAAUAACUAAAAAGUGGAAACAACCCUUUCAUCACAAAAGAUGUCCAUCAACUGUGAAUGGAUAAACAAAAUGUGGAAUACCCAUACAAGGGAAUGUAAUACAGCUAUAAAAAGAAACAAAACAGGGGUACUUUCUACAAUAGAGAAAAACUUUGAAAACAUUAUGUUACAUAAAAGAAGCUAGUCAUAAAAGACAACACGCUCUAUGUGAUACAAUAAGAUCUUCUCCCCAGUUCCUGUUACAGAGCUUCAAAAACCCUUGGAAUUUCCUGAGUGAUAAGGGCGACAGGAGCAGCUUUUGUUAUUCAUAAGCCCCUUUUGACUAUAUCAAGCUUUAUGCUAGUAAGAUAUCUCUUGGUGACGCUCUAGAGAGCUUCAGAAUGGAGACUGGUUGCUAAUGCAACCUAGCAUAUGAAUCAGAGGGUUGGAACUUUCAGUUCAUCUCUGGACCUCUUGGGAAGGAAGAGGGUUGAACACUGAGUUCAAUCACCAAUGGCCAAUGAAUUAAUCAGUCUGCUUAUGUAAUGGAACCACUAUAAAUCCGCUAAAUGAUAAGGUUUGGAAAGCUUUCCCAUUGAGGUGCCAGGAGGGUGGUGUGCCCAGAGAGGGAAUGGAAGCCCUGUGCCCAUAGCCCCAUACCUUGUCCUAUGUAUCUCUUACAUUUAACUGUUACUGAGGUGUAUCCUCUUCUAACAAACUGGUAAUAGUAAGUGGUAUGUUUUUCUGAGUCCUGUGAGCUUUUCUAGAAAAUAAAACUCUGGAGGGGAUCAUGGGGACUCUGGAUUUAUAGUGGAUUGGUCAGAAGCACAGGAACUUGCAACUGGUAUCUAAAGCUGGGUUAGUCUUACGGGACUAAAUUCUUAAAAUGUGGGUUCUGUGCUAACUCCAGUUAGCAUCAGAAAUAUUAGUGUUAGAAAUGUAUUGUCCUAUCCACUUCCCUGGUAGUCCAGUGGUUAGGAAUCUGCACUUUAACUGCCAAGGGCCUGGGUUCAAACCCUGGUUGGGGAACUAAGACCCUGCAAGCUGUGCAGAGUGGCCAAAAAGAAUAAAUGUAUAAUUAUAGGACACGCAGUUAGUGUCUAGUGAGCAAGGGAAUUGGUUAAUGUGGGGGAAAAACUCCCCUCAUACUUGGUGCCAGAAGGGGUGUUGGAAAACACUACAGGCUAUAUGAUUUCAUUUAUACAAAGUCAUCAGAAAAGGUCUAAGUUCAUAGAGACUAAAAGGAGAUUAGUGAUGGCCUUUAUUAGUCUGGUAGUCCUCAAGAAGAGUGUUGAAGUGCUGUCUGGUGUUUGAGUGCUGGAGCUCAAGAAGUCUGCGGUUGUCUUAUGGAGGAAAUAAGUGUAUUAGAAAAGCUUUGUUCUGGUAUGAGUUAGAGUGCCAUUGGCUAUUAGAUUAAUGCAGAAGGAUCAACAAUAUAUAGUAAAUAAGGUGUCUUUAAAAAGGAAACAAGCAUAAAAAUAAGUUACGGAUUAAUCAGUUGGCCAAAGUGUUGUGACCAGAGGCUUGCAGGAACCCAACCUUAUAUUUCCUCUAGAAGCAAUGGUUCAGUAUUCACUAAUUCAGUGUUCAUGGUGACUUUGUUGAAUUCAUCUAUUUAUUUAAAUUUAUUUUUAGUUAAUUAAGUUAAUUUAGAAAACUUGGAGAAUUUAAAUACUACAAAUAAUGACAACUGAUGAUAUGUCCUUGUGUAGUUUCCUUUCAUAGUGAGUAUGGCCCAGCCCUGUGUUACCAGCAGAAUACUGUGGAAGUAAUUUCCCCAUUACUUUCUGAGCCCAUAAAAGCUUUGCAUGCCCAAUCUGCUCAAGGACAAUACCAAGUCUGGUGUUUGGACACUAACCCAUCUGGAACCCCAAGCUAAGCUGACUGGUGAAGAACUGACUCUGCCAAAAUGAAUCUGUGAAGUCUGAAAGAGGAGACAGUUUAUACAAAUGGGCUUAUACCAACUAAAAGGAGUCAAGGAUCUUGAAGAAUCGGGUUAACAUGAAAAAAAAAGAAGAAAGCCUAUGGGACUUAUCAAAGACACUAUCAA